UUGCCGGCCAGUUGGACUUGAGCGGUCGCCAUGGUGGUGUCGGGGGCUCGGCCGGCCUCGUUAGGUGUUGAAUUAUGUGUUUCGUUGUGCUAGAUCUUGCCAAUUUGCUUUGAUAUUUGAUAAAUAACGCUGCCUUUUUCUUUGGUGACCCUGCAAACUAAUACGACGAUAUUUUGGUGCCUAUUAUUAUGCAUUAAACAUCUUGAGACAAAUGUGGCGAUUUCGACGCCCUUUUGCAGUGCCCCCCUCCCCUUUUGUAGUGAGUUAACAGGCUUGUAAGAACCAAGUGAACCAUUUUUAGUCAAGUGGUCAUGAUCGUCCCUACAUCUAAUGGAUACUAAAUAGUCUUGCGCAAACUUUUUAGGUAAUGGAGGAAGCAGAAUAAUUACGAUUUUGGAGUACGCAAACUUGAUAUAAAAAAUCUCAGGUAUUUUGGCCAUAUAAAGUGAGAAAAAAAGUUCAAUUUACCAUUUUUAUUACAAUUGCAAUAAUGAUAAUAUCAUGAUAAUUGUACUGUCAGGUAUUGAUAAUAGUCAUGUCACGUCGUGCUACUAACCACACAGACACAACACAUUUUCAUCGUUAUGUAUCUAGGCAUAAGGUAUUACAGGCAUGUUUUUUUGCACACCUGUCAUGUGUGAGUGGGCAUGGCCUCCUUCCCAGUUAAAUUUUGGCUGGUUGUGCUCAAAUUUUGUAAAUACCUUAACCUACAUGUAAAGGGAUACAGACACAGUUAGUCAGGCACUCUUCUUAGUUCUUAAUCCAGUUUUGUGCACCACUUCCUGCUUUCACCAUGCUGUGCCCACUCUGCUUUACAGUGGACAGCUGCUUCUGUGACACGCAUCAAACUUGCGCUCAUUGAAACACUUAGUUUUGAGUGUUUUGACUCAGUUUUGUUGUAACAUUACCUUUGUUUAUGUUCUCAGUAACUUGCUUUGGGCUUCUCAUAUUUAUAUUUUUUCUUGGCUUAGCAGGUUUAGUGUAAAACAAGUUGCUGAAAUAUUUACAUGUUAAGAUUACAUGAGUGCAUACAUUUUAUAAAAGCUAUUUCAAAGUACUGUAGCUAUGUGUAACAUGCAUAUGUCUAAGUCAAUGACUACUCAGCAUGCUGCUUGGUGUUCAAUGGUAACAGUUUGAUUUGUUUUUUACAUCAAAUAAGAUUUGAUUUGUGUUUCUGAGAUUCCAAUGUUAUUUGUGGCAAAUAUUUUCCAAAAAUCCUCCAUCUUAAGCUUCAACUGAAUUAUAAAAUGCCUGCAUUUUCUACCAGAAACAUUAUCAUUGAUUCCUCCUACAAUAUUUCAUUUUGUCACUAGGUACCUGGACUGGUGAAAAGUGAAAACUGAAAUUCAUUCAUGUCAUCAUUAUAUUAAAGGAAAUAGUUCACUUUUAACAUGGGGUUUUGAGCUGGAAUAGCAGUUUCGUAGCUUGAGCUGAGACUAGCACAAAUCAGGAGCUUUUACGGCUCAACGAUCACCCUAGACGAAGAAAUUCCAUUUCUCGUUCCGAAAAGAGUGCCUUGUAGAGGAAUGCGUGCCUUGCACAGGAAUGCAGCCACGUCAUCGUCAGCCAAUCAGCGUGCUGCUUACAGCCAAUGCAGUAUUCGUAGGUUUGAGCUACGCAAUAUGAUUGGUCAAUGCGUAAUAAGCUUCCGCGUCAAACAUUAUUUUACAUAGAAUAUAGUUCGCCCUAUAUUAAAAUAAAGAAAAUAAUUGUUUUUACAAAAAGGUUUUAUUUUAUUUCAUGAUUAUUUUGAGCAUAAAAAAUCAUAAAUCAAUAGCAAAAUACUGAUUUCAGGAAAGUGGACUGUUUCCUUUAAGACCUACCCCUAAAUGGAAUUGAUCUUGUUUCACAAAUGAGUUGUACAAUGUCUAUCAGCUGAUGUCUAUUGUCUAUCUCUUUUUCAGCACAGAAGAUCCUCAGUCAUAGUUAACAAAAUGGUAAAAUUAGCUGUGUUUUAAGAUUCCAGUCGUGGCCAUCAACUGCUCAGGAAAGCAGCCCAGAAUCACUUCACUACAGGUUUUCAAAGGAUCAUCAUUCAUCAGUACAGAAGGGUGGGGAAGAGAAGGCUGUUCAAAUUCUGAAAAGCCAGAGCUGCAAAGGAGGUCAAGAUGCAGUGCAGUUGGCCCACUCAGUAGAGUUUCACUAGUGGUUCUGAUGUGGACUGGGGAUUACACGCUGGAUUGAAGUGGUGGUCUGGAGCAGCUGUAAUUCAUCAUUCGUGCUGAUCGUGGACGAGUAAGAGCCCGCGUUGGCCCCGAUCGGCGAUCGCUGGCCAAAGCCCACCACCAGGUUGGUGAUAGGCGUUGGCUGUGAUAUCUUGGUGUCGCCUAUGUGUGAAAAGGACAAGUUGAUAACAAAACCUGUUGCGCCAUGUUAUUAACCCGCGCCCGGGUGGCCCUCAGCCAACUUGGUGGGGGGGGGGGGGGGGGGGGUGGGAGGGGGGAGGGGAGGCGUAUUCGGCCACACCAGGUUAUCUUGGAAUGUAACAAAGUUGGAAAGACGCAGUAAAAUCAAUAUAUAGCUCGCUAUUUUCCUUCAGAAUCAUACAGGUCAUUUUCGAUCAGGUCAUUGCUGAGGUCACUGGAGGUCACCAAAAGUAAAAUGAUGACGAAUUCUGGCUUUAGAUUUUGACAACUUCACAAAUUGGUUCAUAACUCGGGAACCAAAGAAGCUACAGCGCCGCGGAAAAGCGAAUUCGAUAGCUCUUUCGAAAAUCUUUCAGGUUCUCAGAUUUGAGCUAAGGUCAACUAGGGUUAAGCCUCCAAAUGGCAAAAACUGAACAAUCGGCGUGCUUCGGAAAUCGUCUUAUCUUUUAAAACUUUUGAUACCAACCUUUUAUUACGUUGAUUUUACCGGCACUGCGUUUCUCUCGUCUUGUUGACCUAACAAGGUCAACUUAAUAAAUUUGACCUCAGGUCAAAGUCGCAGAAAAUGCCAUAUUGCAUGUCAGUCGAUUCGUUACAUUGAGAUUGUGAUUAACAUCAGUAGCGGCGGAACACCUUCAAUUAAGGGGGCAUUGCCGACUUUUGGUCCCAUUCUUCCCAUGCAACGCCCAUAGGGCUAAUCUUAAAAUGUCAAAAUCAAAGGGGGCACGGUGCCCCGGUGCCCUCCCCGUUCCGCCGCCUGUGAUUAUGAUGUUUUUAGCGCUCUGGCCACGUUCCAUCUAAAAUCAAUGUACAAAAAUAAACUGUUGGAGACGUUACAUGACCUGAGAUGACCUCAGGAGCAUACGAUAGAUCCCGACGUUUGAGUGUUUUUGUUUCAAAAGCAGAGCAUUUCGAGUUCCUCAUACUGACUGAAACUGGAGACGUCGCAAAGUUGACCUGACCCUCGGUCACCGAUAUCAAAAUUAAAGAUACUCAAGAUGUUGGUAGUUGGUACUGAUUCUCUCAUGCAAUAGCUCGA